rnacentral:rRNA from 1 species
UCCAGACUCCUACGGGAGGCAGCAGUGGGGAAUAUUGCACAAUGGGCGAAAGCCUGAUGCAGCAACGCCGCGUGAAGGAAGAAGGUCUUCGGAUCGUAAACUUCUGUCCUUGGGGAAGAUAAUGACGGUACCCUUGGAGGAAGCCCCGGCUAACUACGUGCCAGCAGCCGCGGUAAUACGUAGGGGGCAAGCGUUAUCCGGAAUUACUGGGUGUAAAGGGUGAGUAGGCGGCAUGGUAAGCCAGAUGUGAAAGCCUUGGGCUUAACCCGAGGAUUGCAUUUGGAACUAUCAAGCUAGAGUACAGGAGAGGAAAGCGGAAUUCCUAGUGUAGCGGUGAAAUGCGUAGAUAUUAGGAAGAACACCAGUGGCGAAGGCGGCUUUCUGGACUGAAACUGACGCUGAGGCACGAAAGCGUGGGGAGCGAACAGGAUUAGAUACCCGAGUA